GGAGAGGUGGCGGAGCGGUUGAACGCAGCUGCCUGCUAAGCAGCUGGUUGGCGCGAGCUGACCCUCGGGUUCGAAUCCCGGCCUCUCCG
rfam:Omnitrophica WOR_2 bacterium RIFCSPHIGHO2_02_FTLL_50_17 rifcsphigho2_02_scaffold_2997, whole genome shotgun sequence.